UGGAGUUUCUGCACAAGUUCGAGCGCCACUUCAUCGCUCAGGGGCCCUAUGAGAACCGCAGCGUCUUCGAGUCGCUGGAGCUGGGCUGGCAGCUGCUGCGCACCUUCCCCAGGCAGAUGCUGAAGCGCAUCCCGGACGACGUGUUGGAUGAGUUCUACCCCAGGGAGGGGAGGGCGGGGGGGGGCACCGCGCUCUGAGCCCCCCCAAAAGGGCUGACUGCAGCCGGCUGUCCCCCCAUCCCCCCAUGAUGACCCCAUCCCCCCACAAUGUCCCCAUCACCCCACAAUGGCCCCAUCCCAUUAAAGCGUCCCC
rnacentral:lncRNA from 1 species